rnacentral:rRNA from 1 species
CAGUCGCCGCGGGAAUACGGAGGGUGCGAGCGUUAAUCGGAAUAACUGGGCGUAAAGGGCACGCAGGCGGUGACUUAAGUGAGGUGUGAAAGCCCCGGGCUUAACCUGGGAAUUGCAUUUCAUACUGGGUCGCUAGAGUACUUUAGGGAGGGGUAGAAUUCCACGUGUAGCGGUGAAAUGCGUAGAGAUGUGGAGGAAUACCGAAGGCGAAGGCAGCCCCUUGGGAAUGUACUGACGCUCAUGUGCGAAAGCGUGGGGAGCAAACAGGAUUAGAUACCCCAGUAGUCCCUGUCUCUUAUAC